rnacentral:rRNA from 1 species
GACAGAGGUGCCAAGCGUUAGGCGGAAUCACUGGGCUUAAAGCGUGUGUAGGCGGAAUGGUAAGUACCUUGUGAAAUCCCAUAGCUUAACUAUGGAACUGCUUGGUAUACUGCUUUUCUUGAGCCACUUAGGGGCUACCGGAACAAAUGGUGGAGCGGUGAAAUGCGUAGAUAUCAUUUGGAACGCCAAUGGUGAAAACAGGUAGCUGGGAGUGUGCUGACGCUGAGACACGAAAGCCAGGGGAGCGAACGGG